GACGAACCGUGCAAACGUUGUUCGGAAUCACUGGGCUUAAAGGGCGCGUAGGCGGAUAUUCAAGUCGGUGGUGAAAUCCCCCAGCUUAACUGGGGAACUGCCUUCGAUACUGGGUAUCUCGAGUGAGGUAGGGGCAUGCGGAACUGAUGGUGGAGCGGUGAAAUGUGUUGAUAUCAUCAGGAACACCGGUGGCGAAAGCGGCUUACUGGGUCUCUUCUGACGCUGAGAAACGAAAGCCAGGGGAGCGAAGGGG
rnacentral:rRNA from 1 species